ACGAACGCUGGCGGCAGGCUUAACACAUGCAAGUCGAACGCCCCGCAAGGGGAGUGGCAGACGGGUGAGUAACACGUGGGAACGUGCCCGAAGGUACGGAAUAUUCUCGGGAAACUGAGAGCAAUACCGUAUGUGACCGUAAGGUGAAAGAUUUAUCGCCUUUGGAGGGGCCCGCGUCGGAUUAGGUAGUUGGUGAGGUAACGGCUCACCAAGCCUGCGAUCCGUAGCUGGUCUGAGAGGAUGACCAGCCACACUGGGACUGAGACACGGCCCAGACUCCUACGGGAGGUAGUAGUGGGGAGUAUUGGACAAUGGGGGCAACCCUGAUCCAGCAAUGCCGCGUGGGUGAUGAAGGCCUUCGGGUUGUAAAGCCCUUUCGGCGGGGACGAUGAUGACGGUACCCGCAGAAGAAGCCCCGGCUAACUUCGU
rnacentral:rRNA from 1 species